rnacentral:rRNA from 1 species
AGCAGCCGCGGUAAUUCCAGCUCCAAUAGCGUAUAUUAAAGUUGCUGCAGUUAAAAAGCUCGUAGUUGAAUUUCGGGACCAUCAUGUCGGUCGUGCCUCGGUACGUACUGGCAUUGUUGGUUUCUACCUUCUGACGAACCAUGAUGUCAUUUAUUUGGUGUCGUGGGAAAUCAGGACUGUUACUUUGAAAAAAUUAGAGUGUUUAAAGCAGGCUCACGCUUGAAUACAUUAGCAUGGAAUAAUGAAAUAGGACGUUUGAUUCUAUUUUGUUGGUUUCUAGGAUCGACGUAAUGAUUAAUAGGGAUAGUUGGGGGCAUUAGUAUUCAAUUGUCAGAGGUGAAAUUCUUGGAUUUAUUGAGGACUAACUACUGCGAAAGCAUUUGCCAAGGAUGUUUUCAUUAAUCAAGAACGAAAGUUAGGGGAUCAAAGACGAUCAGAUACCGUCGUAGUCUUAACCAUAAACUAUGCCGACUAGGGAUCGGAUGAUGUUAAUUUUUUAAUGACUCA